GUAUUUCUUUGUAUAGCAGUGUGAUUAUAAAGAAAUAAACUCACGUAUCUUAGGAACACAGCCUCAAACACUUUAAGCAAUGAUUAACAUAACUUUGUGUGGUGUGACAUUUUUCCUGGAAAGACAAAGAUAUAAACAAGCAUCCACUCACCCCAGACAGGGCACCAAGAACAGACCAAAGAGAACAUAGCACCAAACUCCAAUGCGGUGAGCCACCGAGUUUUACUAGGGGGUUACUUACAGAAGUAUGGGUGAGACGUUACUUUCAGAAACAGAAAUGACACAAAGAGAGCUAUAUCACCAGAGUCCCAGCCAGCGUGUGUGAUGGGCCACGGAAGCUGGAACACACUGCACAGCCAAAGAACCAAGAUUGCUAUGGAUUAUAACCUGGCUGCCAAGAGACUCUUUGGGGAGGCUUUUUACCUCUCUCGAAGGUGACAGACAGAAGAAUGCGGUUGGAGCUGGUGGGAAGAUGGCUGCACAUUGUGGACAAGAAGGGAGGGAUCCUGCAUGCUUAUCUCUAAUUGCUAAAAAAGAAAAAAAGAAGAAGAAGAAGAAGAAGAAGAAGAAGAAGAAGAAGAAGAAGAAGAAAAAAAGAAAAUACUGUUUUGAAAUCAACUCUAUUAUUUUGCCUUGGGGAUAAAAACAAAUAUCAUUGCUAGUUAGUUUUUGUAGUUUUCCAGAGGUCAGGGUCAGUGGUAUAUAAAUGAUGACAUAGUUUACUCUCCAGUCGCCCUGACCACUGUAAUUUGCAUCUAAUGGCGGUAUAGCCAGACUCCACAAAGAAGCAAUUUAACUUGUUUCCCGGGUCUCACUACUAUAAAUAAUACUGCAGUGAACUUCCUUAUUAAUGCACGCUUCCCACAAAUGCUCCUUCCACCUGGCAGACUUGUUCCUGGACGUGCAAUCACAGCUCUAAAGACUGAACAGUGUUAAUACUGGAAGGUAUUACUCUGUUUUUCUCACCAGAGGUUUUCUCUUCUUCCUUCUUGUGGCUCAAGGUGUGACUUCUCAGCCUUCUGUUCCUGCUGCCGUGCCUGCCACCUAAACUCCUGUUGCCAUUCCUCUACUCUACCAGCAUGGACUUCUUUCCUUAGGAACUACAAGCCCCAAUAAACCCCUUCUUCCAUAAAUUGCCGUA